UACGGGGGGAGCAAGCGUUGUUCGGAUUUACUGGGCGUAAAGGGCGCGUAGGCGGCCACCGCAAGUCAAUUGUGAAAUCUCCGGGCUUAACUCGGAAAGGUCAACUGAUACUGUGCGACUAGAGUGCGGAAGGGGCAACUGGAAUUCUUGGUGUAGCGGUGAAAUGCGUAGAUAUCGAGAGGAACACCUGCGGCGAAGGCGGGUUGCUGGGCUGACACUGACGCUGAUGCGCGAAAGCUAGGGGAGCGAACGGG
rnacentral:rRNA from 1 species